rnacentral:rRNA from 1 species
AACGAACGCUGGCGGCAGGCCUAACACAUGCAAGUCGAGCGAGACCUUCGGGUCUAGCGGCGGACGGGUGAGUAACGCGUGGGAACGUGCCCUUUUCUACGGAAUAGCCUCGGGAAACUGAGCGUAAUACCGUAUACGCUCUUUGGGGGAAAGAUUUAUCGGAGAAGGAUCGGCCCGCGUUGGAUUAGGUUGUUGGUGGGGUAAUGGCCUACCAAGCCUACGAUCCAUAGCUGGUUUGAGAGGAUGAUCAGCCACACUGGGACUGAGACACGGCCCAGACUCCUACGGGAGGCAGCAGUGGGGAAUCUUAGACAAUGGGGGCAACCCUGAUCUAGCCAUGCCUCGUGAGUGAUGAAGUCCUUAGGGUUGUAAAGCUCUUUCAGCUGGGAAGAUAAUGACGGUACCAGCAGAAGAAGCCCCGGCUAACUCCGUG